rnacentral:rRNA from 1 species
AGAGUUACUCAUAAAUAAGGGCGUAUGAUGGAUGCCUCGGGAAGGGAAGGCGAUGAAGGACAUGGCGUAGCUGCGAUAAGCCUCGGGGAGUCGUUGAGCAGACUUUGAUCCGGGGAUUUCCGAAUGGGGAAACCCAUCCGCCGAAGAGGCGGAUAUUUAUGUCUGAAUUCAUAGGACAUAAAAGCAAACCUGGCGAAGUGAAACAUCUCAGUAGCCAGAGGAA